AGAGUUUGAUCCUGGCUCAGAGCGAACGCUGGCGGCAUGCUUAACACAUGCAAGUCGCACGGAGGGGGCAACCCCUCAGUGGCGGACGGGUGAGUAACGCGUAGGUAUCUAUCCACGGGUGGGGGAUAACAGCGGGAAACUGCUGCUAAUACCGCAUGAUGCCUGAGGGCCAAAGGCGCAAGUCGCCUGUGGAGGAGCCUGCGUCCGAUUAGCUUGUUGGUGGGGUAACGGCCUACCAAGGCGAUGAUCGGUAGCUGGUCUGAGAGGAUGAUCAGCCACACUGGGACUGAGACACGGCCCAGACUCCUACGGGAGGCAGCAGUGGGGAAUAUUGGACAAUGGGCGCAAGCCUGAUCCAGCAAUGCCGCGUGGAUGAAGAAGGUCUUCGGAUUGUAAAGUCCUUUCGGCGGGGACGAUGAUGACGGUACCCGCAGAAGAAGCCCCGGCUAACUUCGUGCCAGCAGCCGCGGUAAUACGAAGGGGGCUAGCGUUGCUCGGAAUGACUGGGCGUAAAGGGCGCGUAGGCGGUUUGGUCAGUUAGACGUGAAAUUCCUGGGCUUAACCUGGGGGCUGCGUUUAAGACGGCCAGGCUUGAGUGUGAAAGAGGGUCGUGGAAUUCCCAGUGUAGAGGUGAAAUUCGUAGAUAUUAGGAAGAACACCGGUGGCGAAGGCGGCGACCUGGUUCAUUACUGACGCUGAGGCGCGAAAGCGUGGGUAGCGAACAGGAUUAGAUACCCUGGUAGUCCACGCCGUAAACGUUGGGCGCUAGGUGUGGGGGACAUUCCACGUCCUCCGUGCCGCAGCUAACGCAUUAAGCGCCCCGCCUGGGGAGUACGGCCGCAAGGCUAAACUCAAAGGAAUUGACGGGGGCCCGCACAAGCGGCGGAGCAUGCGAUUAAUUCGAUCCACGCGAAGAACCUUACCUGGGUUUGACAUAUAGGGAAAUCUCACAGAGAUGUGAGGUCCGUAAGGGUCCUAUACAGGUGGUGCAUGGCUGUCGUCAGCUCGUGUCGUGAGAUGUUGGGUUAAGUCCCGCAACGAGCGCAACCCUCGUCCUAUUUUGCCAGCACGUAAUGGUGGGGACUCAUAGGAGACUGCCGGGGUCAACUCGGAGGAAGGUGGGGAUGACGUCAAGUCAUCAUGCCCCUUAUGUCCAGGGCUUCACGCAUGCUACAAUGGCCGGUACAAAGGGCUGCGAAACCGCAAGGUGGAGCGAAUCCCAAAAAGCCGGUCUCAGUUCGGAUUGGGGUCUGCAACUCGACCCCAUGAAGUCGGAGUCGCUAGUAAUCGCAGAUCAGCAACGCUGCGGUGAAUACGUUCCCGGGCCUUGUACACACCGCCCGUCACGUCAUGAAAGUCGGCAACACCCGAAGCCUGUGGCCUAACCCUUGUGGAGGGAGCCGUCGAAGGUAGGGCUGGCGAUUAGGACGAAGUCGAAACAAGGUA
rnacentral:rRNA from 1 species